GGAGUAGUAUCGAAGUGGUCAUAACGAGCACGAUUGGAAAUCGUGUAGCCUUCACGGGCUCGAGGGUUCGAAUCCCUCCUACUCCGCCA
rnacentral:tRNA from 1 species